UCCCUCCUGAAAGGUUUCCAGCCAGUAGU
rnacentral:piRNA from 2 species